rnacentral:precursor_RNA from 1 species
AUUGUCAUGCUUUUAAAGAUGAAUGACAAGUAAAGAGUUAAUCUAUUUUAGAUCGUUGAUCUAAUAGAACAUUCGAUACAUGGUUGGCGAACAUGUGUGCGCUUGUUUUAAUUAUGAAUCGGUACGAAAUGUGCCAAGGAGAAGGAAAUAUUGUUCCCCCUUUAAAUGAGACAUAUUGUUAUUUUUUAUAGGGGUGGAGAUUAAUCAAUGAUCAAAUGACUUCCAACAAUGGAUAUCUUGACUCUCGUACCGAUGAAGAACGUAGCAAAAUGCGAUACAUGGUGUGAAUUGCAGAAUUCCGCGAAUCAUCGAGUUUUUGAACGCAAGUUGCGCCUAAGGCCAGUUAUAGGUUUAGGGCAUGCUUGCUUGGGUGUCGUGUAUGAGACAACUAAAUAUUUUUUCCAUGAUCUACUGAUUGAUGGACUUAUUUGGUUGUGCUUCUUGUCCUCUCGUUCACUUAGACUGUGUUCGGUUGGAUGAAAUAUUAGAAUCCUUGGCAUCGAAUGUCUUGCAUGUUUUGGUUAACAUUGUAUGAUAUUAACGCUGUCUAGUUAAAAUUGAAUGCCAAACAGAAUGCCGAUCUCAUUCUCACAAAAUGAGAGGAUUCUUUUGACCUCAGGUCAAGCA